rnacentral:rRNA from 1 species
CUCUUCUUGAAUAUAUUUUGAUGUAUGGCCUGCCCACUGAAUAUUGAAGGGCCGCGGUAUUUUGACCGUGCAAAGGUAGCAUAAUCAUUAGUCUUUUAAUUGUAGGCUGGAAUGAAUGGUUUGACGAGGUGUUAACUGUCUUUAAUUUUUUUUAUUGAAUUUAAAUUUUAGGUUAAAAUGCCUAAAUGUUUUUUUGGGACGAGAAGACCCUAUAGAGUUUUAUAUAUUUUUAUUUUUUUUGUAUGAUAAUUUUUAAUAUAAAAAUUUAUUUUGUUGGGGUGAUGAGAAGAUUAAAUUAACUCUUUUUGUUUUUUUAUAUUUAUUUAUAUUUAUUUGAUCCAUUUUUAUUGAUUAUAAGACUAAAUUACC